AAGCUGAUGACUAGACAGGCGAGACUUCGCAAGUUAAAAUACUAGAGCCAACACUUUUCCUAGUGGGUCUCAACGAAUGGGACUCUUGCUUCCUAUUUUCCACCAAAGUGAGAUGCUGCAGUUAUAGACAUCGACAAAGGUGUUUGGCGAACCGUUUUUGAGUGGAUAUGGAGCCAGACGCUUGAUAAUCACUUGAAGAACCUUCACUUAUGUGUCGAGCAGAAAUAAUACAUGGAUAGUAUUUAAGUAUUCAACACAGCAAAAUAAUCAAGGAGUCAAUGUAAGCAUUAAGUGAGUUCUCAUAUGAAAAUUCUUCCAAUUGUAAAAUCGAUGAUUAGUGUAGUUAAUGAAGACUAGUUUGUUACCAGUUGUCGACCAUUGGAACCAGUUUGAGAUUUUGGAGCCUUGAAUACGGGGAGUACAACUCACUUUGUGAACGGAAUCAAAAAUAUGUAAAUGUGUGCAAAC